rnacentral:rRNA from 1 species
AAAAAUUUGGCGGUAUUUUAGUCUAUUCAGAGGAACCUGUUCUGUAAUCGAUAAUCCACGAUGGACCUUACUUAAGUUUGUAAUCAGUUUAUAUACCGUCGUUAUUAGAAAAUUUUAUAAGAAUGUUAAUUUUCAAAAUUUUUAAUAAGAAAAUAUAUCAGAUCAAGGUGUAGCUUAUAUUUAAGUAGAAAUGGGUUACAAUAAAUUUAUUUAAACGGAUAUAAAUUUGAAAUAUUUAUUGAAGGUGGAUUUGAUAGUAAAAUUAUAAAGAUUAAUAAUUUGAUUUUAGCUCUAAAAU